UGCACUGUAGUUCAAUUGGUAGAGCACCUGAAUUUGGCUCAGGAAGUUGCAGGUUCGAGUCCUGUCAGUGUUA
rnacentral:tRNA from 1 species